rnacentral:rRNA from 1 species
AUUGAACGCUGGCGGCAGGCCUAACACAUGCAAGUCGAGCGGAUGACGUUAUCUGGCUCUUGUAUUCAGCGGCGGACGGGUGAUUAAUUCCUAGAAAUCUGCCUGGUAGUUGGGGAUCACGUCCGGAAACGGGCGCUAAUACCGAAUACGUCCUGCGGGAGAAACUUGAGGAUCUUCGGCCCUCACGCUAUCAGAUGAGCCUACGUCUGAUUAGCUAUUUGGCGGCGUAAAGGCCUCUCAAGGCGACGAUCCGUAACUGGUCUGAGAGGAUGAUCAGUCACACUGGAACAGAGACACGACGCAGACUCCUACGGGAGGAAGCAGUGGGGAAUAUUAGACGAGGGGCGAGAGCCGGAUCCAGCAAUGCCGGGGGAGCGAAGAAGGUCUGAGGAUUGGAGAGCAAAGUAAGUUGGGAGGAAGGGAAGUAAGUUAAUAACGUGAUGAUUUGACGUUACCAACAGAAUAAGCCCCGGCUAACUUCGUG